AGAUUGAACGCUGGCGGCAUGCUUUACACAUGCAAGUCGAACGGUAACAGGCCGCAAGGUGCUGACGAGUGGCGAACGGGUGAGUAAUGCAUCGGAACGUGCCCAGUCGUGGGGGAUAACGCAGCGAAAGCUGUGCUAAUACCGCAUACGAUCUAUGGAUGAAAGCGGGGGACCGAAAGGCCUCGCGCGAUUGGAGCGGCCGAUGUCAGAUUAGCUAGUUGGUAGGGUAAAGGCCCACAAGGCGACGAUCUGUAGCUGGUCUGGAGACGGGCGACCGAGACCGACACGUGGAACUAGAGACACGGUCCAGACUCCGACGGGAGCAGCAGGUAGGGUAAUUUUGGAACUAAGUGGGACGCAAGCCUGA
rnacentral:rRNA from 1 species